rnacentral:rRNA from 1 species
GGACGGGAUAAGUGCUGAAAGCAUCUAAGCAUGAAGCCCCCCUCAAGAUGAGAUUUCCCAACUUCGGUUAUAAGAUCCCUCAAAGAUGAUGAGGUUAAUAGGUUCGAGGUGGAAGCAUGGUGACAUGUGGAGCUGACGAAUACUAAUCGAUCGAAGACUUAAUCAA